GUACAAUUGCGCAGAGAACGAACACGUGGUUGCGCAGAGAGUCGAAAACGUGGUUACAAUUUCCAUAAUCGAUUUCUCAUCACUUUUCAACAACUAAGAUCCCUUGAAGCUUUCCUCAGACAAACCUCAACCAUCAUCACCUCUGGAUGUUCUACUACCACCAGACCUGCAGUAAUUCAGCUGAUUUUGAGGAGAAGGAAGUGGAGGCGAGGGGAGGAGAGUGAAAGUGAAAGAUAAAGUACAUUUGCACAGAGACCCAACACCAACUGAGUGGAAAACGUGGUUACAAUUUCCAAAUCCAUUUCUCAUCACUUUUCAACAACUAAGAUCCCUUGAAGCUAUCCUCAGACAAACCUCAACCAUCAUCACCUCUGGAUGUUCUACUACCACCAGAGCUGCAGUAAUUCAGCUGACCUCUCCCUCUCCAGCACACAACUAAGAUCUGCAGCUUCUGGUGAACCAUCUAAGAGGAAGACAAUUAACAAAGUCAGAUAUGGCAACUGCUAGAAACAGAAGUAGCAAGGAACUUGGCCCUGAGAUGUCAAAAGAACUAGGAAACCUCAAGCAUGACAUCAAGUCAUUCAAGGAACUCUUUGAAGGAGAGAAAAACGAUUUACAAGAAAGAGCAAAUUACUUUGAACAGAAAGCUGCUGAUAUUAAGAAAAUGCAGGACAACGCUGCCAAAGGCAGGAUUACUGGGGUUGGAAUGGGGGUAGCUGGUGCAGCCAUCAGCGUGGUGGGAAUAGGUAUAGCUGUAUACACUGGGGGCCUCUCCCUGCUCAUGAAUGGGGCAAUCUUGACUGCAUUUGGUGGAACUACUUGUGUUGUGUCUAAUGUCGUCAAAAUGUUGUUAGAGAACAAUGGCCAAGACAAAAUUAAGAAAAGUGCAGAAGAUUUCAAUAAAAGUAUUCAACCAAUUGUUGAACGCCUGGAAAAAAUCCAAACAAAUGUUCAAACAUUAGAGGAACUGUCCUCCUCCACAUCCAUGGUAGCUACAGGUCUGAGUACAACAGUAGAAGUAACCAGACUGCUGAAGAGAGUGGCUGAACUGAGCAAAAACACUGAGCUUGGUGCAGUACGAUUGGAUGUGGUUUUACUUGAGAUGAUCCGUCUUCUUGACAUGAUCUUGGCCAUCUUUAAGGUCCGUAGGGACGUGGAGCUUGAAAAUGAGUUCUUUGAUAAGAUCAUAGAAUCAGCUGAACUGUGUCAGAAGACUAUAGAUGACUUUGAAACGUUGACAGGAGAAUUCAACAAAGUGUCAGAUUUCUUACAACAUUUCUGAAAACAGUCAGGUGGUACACUGUGCCAUGAUAGAUCUGAGAGUGACGAAAACUGCUCUGUUUUAUUAAUGCUGUGAUGCAUAACAAGUCUGUAUAUGAUGCACAGGUGGUCGAACCUCUACUUUAACUUGGACAAGUGCUCCAUAGUGUACAUCAUUUGUCAAAUCAAUGUCAUAAAUGUUUCAUGUUCAUGUCUAUUCUCUUUUGUGAAAUGUACAUGUCACAUUUCAAGUGAACUAAUCAUUUGGCAUUGUUGUUAAAUUAAUUUCAGUGUAUGAUGUUUUUUUUUUACAACUAUUGACAAAUCUAAAAUAAAUAUUGUUCAACAAA